rnacentral:rRNA from 1 species
UACGUAGGGCGCAAGCGUUGUCCGGAAUUAUUGGGCGUAAAGAGCUCGUAGGCGGCUUGUCACGUCGGAUGUGAAAGCCCGGGGCUUAACUCCGGGUCUGCAUUCGAUACGGGCUGGCUAGAGUGUGGUAGGGGAGAUCGGAAUUCCUGGUGUAGCGGUGAAAUGCGCAGAUAUCAGGAGGAACACCGGUGGCGAAGGCGGGUCUCUGGGCAACUACUGACGCUGAGGAGCGAAAGCGUGGGGAGCGAACAGG